rnacentral:pre_miRNA from 1 species
AAUGUAUGACGUUAUUGACUUUUUGUCCAACGUUUGACCAUUCGUCUUAUUCAAAAAAUUUAUGUAAUUAUUAUUUAUUUUAUUGUGACUUGAUUCAUCAUCAAAUAUUCUUCAAGCAUGAUAUAAAUAUUUCCAUAUUUACGCAAAAUUUUGAAAUAAAACGAAUGUUCAAACGUUGAUCGAAAAAUCAACGGCGUCAUACAUU